GACUCUGCUGCCUUGUCUUGAACACAGCUACUGACCACACAUCCGGAAUUCUGGUGCAGGAGAUGCUGUCGUUAAUCACCCAGGUUGCGUCUUUCAUGAGGGCUGCAGACUUAUCUUGACGCAAACUGCGCUGAGAACUUGUGCAGAUCAGCAGACUCCUGGAUGACUCAGGAGCGCCUGGUCUCCCAGCUGACCAGUCAGACCGGCUGGGCGCCCAAAUGACAUGUGAAAAAUAGCCUAAUAAGGAUCCUUGUGGUAAAAUCAGAUGGAAAACGGGGAGGAAGAGCUGUGCCGUCUCCAGCAGCUCAUUUCAGGCAGUCCUCCGAGUUUCACAAUAAUAAUCAGUGCUGGCCCAGUGCCGCCGGAUUAUUUUGUAUAUUCAUGAAGCUGCUCAUCAGCCGUCAGGAGAAUGCGCAGUAAUCCUUGGAUGAAAUAAGGCCAAUCAGUGGAAUAAUGAGGAAGAUGUGAGGACCGGAAGGCGUUCCUGUCAGAGCUUGGGCUUGGUAACGACCCACCCUGCUUCUGGCUGGAAAGCAAUGGAGACUUCCUAAUGAGCCCUGGGAACCCUCGUGGGCCGUGAGAUCAAGCAGGCACCUACGCCAGGAGGGGCUCGAAGGGCUGAAUUGCAUCUUAUUUCUUCGCCUUCAAGUCAAAAAGCAAAGCCAAAGACAAAGAGGUGCAGAUGAAAUACACACUGCAGGUGGUCCCGGCGUCCCCUUCCAAGAUAAACCAGCCAGCCCGGAGGGAGACGUGACAGGGAAGAGCCCAUAUGGGUCCAGCACAGACACGACUGCCCCAGGGGUGCCUCUG